rnacentral:rRNA from 1 species
GUCUACUGCUAUACCACCCUGAACGUGCCCGAUCUUGUCUGAUCUCGAAAGCUAAGCAGGGUUGGGCCUGGUUAGCACUUGGUUGGGAGAAAAUUGCCAAUUUUUGAAAGAAACUCAGGCAAUGAAGAGU